CUGGAGGAAAAAUAGGUGUUAUGUUAUAUGUGAUGAUACACCACACCAUCUGCACCAACUUUUCCAAAAUCCUAGUUUACCUAUGGGAGUUGCAUAGGUGCUGACUGGAGUGAAGUUCCGAAGUCUUCUGAUACUAUGGUGGAUCCAAGGAGGCAGUUGGGAAGUAACUGUUCCCAGACCUCUCCCCCAGUCCACAGAUAUGCAUGUCGUAAGUCCCCAGGUAAAAAAGGACUUGUGCAGAAAACUAUUACAGUAUUAAAUAAUCUUCCAAAAACAGCCUGGAAGAAGUCCCAAUCAACUGAGUCCUUUGAAGUGGUAAAACUAUAGACAAAAGAAGAGAGACAAGAUGAGAUAAUAGGUCACUUCCAUCUCUAGUUUUUGUUAGAGCUAAUUAUCAGUCACUA